CACAUGCAAGUCGAGCGGGGUGAUGUGCUUCGGUACUGAUCCUAGCGGCGGACGGGUGAGUAAUGCUUAGGAAUCUGCCAUUUAGUGGGGGACAACAUUCCGAAAGGAAUGCUAAUACCGCAUACGUCCUACGGGAGAAAGCAGGGGAUCUUCGGACCUUGCGCUAAAUGAUGAGCCUAAGUCGGAUUAGCUAGUUGGUGGGGUAAAGGCCUACCAAGGCGACGAUCUGUAGCGGGUCUGAGAGGAUGAUCCGCCACACUGGGACUGAGACACGGCCCAGACUCCUACGGGAGGCAGCAGUGGGGAAUAUUGGACAAUGGGCGGAAGCCUGAUCCAGCCAUGCCGCGUGUGUGAAGAAGGCCUUAUGGUUGUAAAGCACUUUAAGCGAGGAGGAGGCUACUGAGAUUAAUACUCUGGGAUAGUGGACGUUACUCGCAGAAUAAGCACCGGCUAACUCUGUGCCAGCAGCCGCGGUAAUACAGAGGGUGCGAGCGUUAAUCGGAUUUACUGGGCGUAAAGCGUGCGUAGGCGGCUUUUUAAGUCGGAUGUGAAAUCCCCGAGCUUAACUUGGGAAUUGCAUUCGAUACUGGGAAGCUAGAGUAUGGGAGAGGAUGGUAGAAUUCCAGGUGUAGCGGUGAAAUGCGUAGAGAUCUGGAGGAAUACCGAUGGCGAAGGCAGCCAUCUGGCCUAAUACUGACGCUGAGGUACGAAAGCAUGGGGAGCAAACAGGAUUAGAUACCCUGGUAGUCCAUGCCGUAAACGAUGUCUACUAGCCGUUGGGGCCUUUGAGGCUUUAGUGGCGCAGCUAACGCGAUAAGUAGACCGCCUGGGGAGUACGGUCGCAAGA
rnacentral:rRNA from 1 species